rnacentral:rRNA from 1 species
GACGAACGCUGGCGGCGUGCUUAACACAUGCAAGUCGAACGAUGAUCAGGAGCUUGCUCCUGUGAUUAGUGGCGAACGGGUGAGUAACACGUGAGUAACCUGCCCCUGACUCUGGGAUAAGCGUUGUAAACGACGUCUAAUACUGGAUAUGAUCACUGGCCGCAUGGUCUGGUGGUGGAAAGAUUUUUUGGUUGGGGAUGGACUCGCGGCCUAUCAGCUUGUUGGUGAGGUAAUGGCUCACCAAGGCGACGACGGGUAGCCGGCCUGAGAGGGUGACCGGCCACACUGGGACUGAGACACGGCCCAGACUCCUACGGAGGCAGCAGUGGGGAAUAUUGCACAAUGGGCGAAAGCCUGAUGCAGCAACGCCGCGUGAGGGAUGACGGCCUUCGGGUUGUAAACCUCUUUUAGUAGGGAAGAAGCGAAAGUGACGGUACCUGCAGAAAAAGCACCGGCUAACUACGUG